AUACGUAGGGCGCGAGCGUUGUCCGGAAUUAUUGGGCGUAAAGAGCUCGUAGGCGGUUUGUCGCGUCUGUCGUGAAAUUCCACAGCUUAACUGUGGGCUUGCGGUGGGUACGGGCAGGCUAGAGUGCGGUAGGGGAGACUGGAAUUCCUGGUGUAGCGGUGGAAUGCGCAGAUAUCAGGAGGAACACCGGUGGCGAAGGCGGGCCUCUGGGCCGUUACUGACGCUGAGGAGCGAAAGCAUGGGGAGCGAACAGGAUUAGAUACCCUGGUAGUCCAUGCCGUAAACGUUGGGCACUAGGUGUGGGGGUUGUUUCCACGAUUUCUGCGCCGUAGCUAACGCAUUACGUGCCCCGCCUGGGGAGUACGGCCGCAAGGCUAAA
rnacentral:rRNA from 1 species